AAGGAGGAGGGCGACCCCCACUCUCAAAACCCUAGCAACUCACUAAUCUCACAAAUUGAAGGCUCAAACCAAGUUAAAAUCGAAAAUCGAGCAUAGAUUAUUGAUCCCCAUUGCAAGGGGGUUGUAAGUUUGACUCUGACAAGCUAGGUAGGAGCUUGGAAAUGAACGGGUCAAAUGGAUACAAGUUCAAGUAUGAAGCUCGCAAGGAUGCAAGGUAAGUAUAACUUACACUAGUCAUAUAUUUUAGAAUGUUCUUUUGUCGUAUUGACUACGAAUAAGACAAAUGGUAAUUUAGUCACACGUUGACAAUAAUCGUUAGUUUUAAAAGACGCUUUCCCGCGUAAGACAUAAAGAGCCGAGAGUGGUAAUAAACGGUUUAUAAAUAAAAUGAGCAUACGGUGUUAAAAGGAGCGAGUCAUGUAGAUGAGAUGAUAAUAAAUAUUAUCUCGCAAAGAUAAACGGUCAAUUCGGCCAAACGGGUCAAAAGGUGUAGACAUCACCUUUUGACAAUAUCGACUAAUGAUUCUGGUGUCGAGUUAUAUGUUUACAGGAGUAGAUAUCCAAUGGAUACUCGCAUCGCUCUUAAUUAGCAAUUAUAAAGCAAGGUAUUAAACCGGGUUAGUAAGUUGAUCCGAGCCAGGUAUGUAUAAUAGAUUAACUCAUCAUGUAGAACUUGAAGUUCUAUGAAAGUUAGGCAAAAUAAAAAAAAGGGCAUUCGGUUACCUUAAUAGGUAAACCGAAGAAUUUAAAUUAUAGACAGAAUGUUUUGAAAACAAGAUUUGGUUAAAAAUGAGAAAUUAGAAUCAAACAACAGGUUUGUUUGAUAAAAUCACGAACGGGUCAAAUUUGGUAAAAAGGGGUAAUAAGCCGAAGACUUAAAAGUCUUAAAUUUUGUUAAUCCAGAUGUUGGGUCUUGACUUCAUUUGAUGGAGGUUCAAUUUACAAUCACGUAGGAAGAAACGGUAGGUCAAACGGACAAGCGGAUUAAAAGUUAUGAAGGUUUCCGUUUUAGAAAUCGGCAAACUUGGAAAAUCUUGCAGAGGCCACCGUAAGUUACGGUAGCUACCGUAACUUACGGUAGCCUUAAAAAUCUUUACGCCUUAAACCCACUGAGUUACGGUGGAAGAAUCAACAUUCAGGGGCUACCGUAAAUUACGGUAGCCACCGUAAUUUACGGUAGACCCUGUAACAAAAUUUAUUAUAAUCAGUUUCGUUUCCCAGAACUCGUUAGACACGUUUAUAACCCCCGUAAGACUAAAGAAUUUUUUUGUUUAUGAAAUGUAGGUACACUUUGGAUGCCGGAAGACGAUCAAGCUCAUUGGAGAACCGAACACGAUAAAGAUACAUGCUUCCGCACAGUGUCCCGUCGUAAAUUUUAAACGACGAAUUCAAUUACGUUAUGUCGAAUAACUUAUGAUUUGUAAAAGUUUUAAUAAACCCAUAUUUUUAUAGUAUGUGUAGUCUUAUCUACACAACUAAUUGUUGGUAA